rnacentral:lncRNA from 1 species
CAGAUGAAACAAUCAAGUUCCUGCGGAUAACAUCACAAACUUAAAGGGAACAAAUUCAAGAAACCAGAGUUCUUUUGAACCCAAAUAAACAUGUUUAGAAGGUAACCCCCAUGGCCAUAUCUUUAAUUGUUCUAAACAUUUGCCUAAUGGAAAGCAAUGUUCACUAAGAAAAAUAAUGCAGAUAAAUAAAUUACAAACUGGGGGGGAGAGAGAGAGAGACUCAGUGAAACAUAAAAUAAAAUUUUCAAGUUACUUAAAUCAACUCAAUCAAGCCUUCUCCCAACUUGGUCUUUCACCAUUCAAUCCCGUCUGUGACUUCCAACUCAAUCACUGACAGUAAUAUCCUUCCACACAGCAUCAAAUCAUGUUCCAUAUACUUUCCUCCUCUCCUUUUACACUACUUUUCUUUUCUUUUUUUCGUUUCUUUUUUUUUUUUUCUGAAGGAGGGGGGGAGAGAGACUCAGGGAAACAUAAAAUAAAAUUUUCAAGUUACUUAAAUCAACUCAAUCAAGCCUUCUCCCAACUCAGUCUUCCAUCAUUCUAUCCAGUAUGUGACUUCAACUCAAUCACUGAGAGUAAUAUCCAUCCCCACAGCAUCAAAUCAUGUUCCAUAUACUUUCCUCCUCUCCUUUUUACACCUUUUUUUUUUUUUUUUGAUAGGUAAAAAGAAAUAGUACAAAUAAAAUGCCAAAGUACACAAAACGUAUACAGCGGAAACCAGCAGGAAUCUAAAAAAGGACAAGGGAAAUCCUUUUUACAUUUGUUUCACUUAUUGUUUAGCAGCAAGAGUUCUGGUCACUAUCAGCUCUAAUAGUAAAAUUCUUUAACUUCUAAUAACUAUUAAUAAAAUUCUUUUCAUAUUUCUUGUGGCCCUUCAAGCACUUUUCACAUGCUUUCUGCCUUGAUCAAGGUCAGUUGGAAGGAGAGAAAUGUCAGAACUUUUUUUGCAUAAGUAUAGCCAGGUGGAGCUAAUUUUGAAAGGGAUCGCAAAGGAGGCAUGCUUUAAUAGGAGGAUAGGCAGCCUUGAUGGAAACGGUUGUGCAACUGGGAAAUGGGGAGCAAACUACAUCUCUAAGAAUGAGUUGCUCAGGUUCUGCUUAUUCUAAGUCAGUUGAGAGGAGAAUGAAGUUAAGACUGAGGUUUUACCACACCUUGAAGGCCCCAGAAAGACUAUCACUCCAGACUUUUGUAACAGUGCUCAUAGAGGGUCAUUCUUCCCCAAUUACAGAAUGGAUAGACAACAAUGGGCAAUCACAGGCAGGAAGCCCUGUAUGUCCAUUUCCCAAGGGAGAUAGUGAACCUCAUUAAAAAGUUUGAGGUGGAUCUCGGUCAUCAGUUUAGUGACUAAAUAUGAAAGGGAGGAAACAGACUUCUUAGCCAUGAAAUGAGCAGUCUGCUUGGAGCAUUAUAAGGGUUCUUGAGGGGUUUGUAGCUGCUGGUAGUGUUUCUUUCUCCUUUAUCUGUGUUGUGCACCUUCCUUUGAGCCUUGUUCAAGGAUAGCCUGUCUCUUUAUUUGUUCAUCUUUAAAAUGAAAUGCUCUCUCAUUUUUUAUUAGAAAGUUGUCAAUGAAGUGGUUUAAAAUUUCUUUCUGCUUAUGUAUUUCAACAUUAUCUAAUGUUUCCCUUCUUCAAGUUACUCCUUUCUUGCAAACCCCGUCAGUUUUUUUUAUGGGGCUUCAAAAGACUCAAUCCUUCUUCCUUAACACCUUCAAAACAUUAAAUAAAAAAAUCUAUCAAAAAACUUGCCUUGCUAAGAACCUAAUCUGAGACAUCCUCUUGCUUCACUUGAGUUAAUUCACCUUUUGCUCAUUGCUCUACCUCCAAGCAAUAAGCUCCAGAAUAGAAAAAGCCUUAACCACUUUAGGUGCAAGAGCUAGAAUUCUUCCUUCAUACUUGAACCACCCCUAAUAGCUCCAACCCUGCCUGAUGCCUAAACAAAUGCUCCACCACCCCUUCAGCUGAACAUAUAUCUACAGGGAUAAAGUCCAGACCCCUCCUACCCAAUCCUCAGUUUCUCAUAGAGAAAAACUCUCCUAAUUACAAAAUAAAGCCAUCUCAGAUUCAGAGUCCAAUUCCUGGGACUCCCCUCACUAGGAUAGCUUGAAACUCCACCAAAAGAGAGCAAUCCAAAUAGCUCCUUGAUACAAACCCUGCAUGUCACUUCCAUGUGCAGACUGUGUACAUUGUCCACAAACACAACCAAACGGUCAUCACCUGGAAUCAUCUGCAAGGAACC